UACGUAGGGUGCAAGCGUUGUCCGGAAUUAUUGGGCGUAAAGAGCUCGUAGGCGGUCUGUCGCGUCGGCUGUGAAAACCCGGAGCUCAACUCCGGGCCUGCAGUCGAUACGGGCAGACUGGAGUUCGGCAGGGGGAGACUGGAAUUCCUGGUGUAGCGGUGAAAUGCGCAGAUAUCGGGAAGAACACCCGUGGCGAAGGCGGCUACUCUGGGACGGUACUGACGCUGAGACGCGAAAGCGUGGGGAGCGAACAGG
rnacentral:rRNA from 1 species